rnacentral:rRNA from 1 species
AAGCCUACGGGAGGCAGCAGUGAGGAAUAUUGGUCAAUGGCCGGAAGGCUGAACCAGCCAAGUCGCGUGAGGGACGACUGCCCUAUGGGUUGUAAACCUCUUUUAUAAGGGAAGAAUAAAUGCUACGUGUAGCAUGAUGCCUGUACCUUAUGAAUAAGCAUCGGCUAACUCCGUGCUAGCAGCCGCGGUAAUACGUAGGUGGCAAGUGUUAUCCGGAUUUAUUGGGCGUAAAGGGAAC